UUCCAACAAAAGAGACAGAAAUCUGAGGAG
rnacentral:piRNA from 1 species